UAGGGCUCCAGGCAGCGCCUGUUGUUGCUCACUGGGGACGUGGGAUUUGUGCGCUGACGCAAGCGGCCGUCUCCCGCGGGCAGCCAUGCAGGAAUCUGGCAGGAGCUCAGACGAGGAACAGACGUCUGGGUCAGGGCAGGCUCAAGCAGGGAGAAACGGGAAGCAAGAGAAGAGG